rnacentral:rRNA from 1 species
GACGAACGCUGGCGGCGUGCUUAACACAUGCAAGUCGAACGGAAAGGCCCUGCAUUUGUGGGGUGCUCGAGUGGCGAACGGGUGAGUAACACGUGAGUAACCUGCCCUUGACUUUGGGAUAACUUCAGGAAACUGGGGCUCAUACCGGAUAUGAGCUCCUUCUGCAUGGUGGUGGUUGGAAAGUUUCGGCGGUUGGGGAUGGACUCGCGGCAUAUCAGCUUGUUGGUGGGGUAGUGGCUUACCAAGGCUUUGACGGGUAGCCGGCCUGAGAGGGUGACCGGCCACAUUGGGACUGAGAUACGGCCCAGACUCCUACGGGAGGCAGCAGUGGGGAAUAUUGCACGAUGGGCGGAAGCCGGAUGCAGCAACGCCGCGUGCGGGAUGACGGCCUUCGGGGUGUAAACCGCGUGCGCCUGUGACGAAGCGUGAGUGACGGUAAUGGGUAAAGAAGCAACGGCUAACUACGUG